GUUACGUGCUCUUGAUCGAGUUUAUGAUCAGCCAGUAUAUAUUGAUCGAGUAACAUCAAGAUCGAUACUGAGCUAAAACAGUAUUCAAUUCUUCAAGUCUUUAAUAUUAAUUCAAAAGAUGAAUGUUUAAUCACCAAAUUAAGACUCUUUUUGAGAGAGUCUUGAUUAAGACCGAGUUCGGUUGUUCUGCAUAUUCCUCAUCAUUUUAGUUGACCCGAAUAUAUAUGAGUUUAAUUAACAGAUCGAGAGAUGCAUAUAAUUAAGCAAAGUCUGAGUUUAAAACUGGCCUCGAUCGCUCUCUGGGUUCCAAACUUUCAAUGGUUGCGGCCGAUAGUGCUUCAUAUAUGUAAGGAAGCCGUUGAACACGUUACGAACUCUGAUCAGUCAACCGGGUCAAUCUCCUAAUUCAAUCACAAAUAGACAUAUAUAUUUUAUACAGCGUAACCACGUUUCAUUACCAUUCUGUAUCUAAUAUCUAUAUUUGUAUGUCAACCUCACAAACAAAGCAGCAGCCUACGUACACGACUCCGCCUUUUCUUCUCUCUUUUUUUUUUUUUUUUGAGGAAGACGACUUAAGUAAACGUACACAGGGUUUUUUUUUUUGUUUCCGAUGAGCUCUUACAAGUAUACUAAAUAGAUGUGAUUGUUCGAAUUUGAAGAAGACGUACGUGGUCCGAUCCAACAUGCAUAAUGCAUUAGUAAACUAGUUUAUUAUCAAGAACAUAUAUAGCCGAAUACUUGCUUUAACUACGUAGUCUUAAACCCUUUACAUAUGUCAUAUAUUGUUCCUUCAAUUAAGGUAAUAUACCAUGCAGAUUAUGACACGACCCACCCCGAAUUUCACCCUGAAACCCAGAGUAAGUCGUGCGGGGACCACCUCCAAGGAAAAUUUACUGAAAAGAUUAAGAAAAUCUCCCUUGCAGAUGGACAACCCUAACUCGAAAAUUUCAUAUUACACUCUUAAUUCAACACUUCUGAACAUCACAUAAUAUACAAAAAUUUUAAAGUAUUCAGAGCUACUAAACACAAACGGAAGCAAAAAAACACGAGUAGGUUGAACAGGUAACCUACUGGCGAAAACUGGCAGAAAUGCGGGUGACUAUGCCUCGUCUCCUACUAGAUCCCACCCGAACUCUGCAGACUGGGCAAUUUAAAACGAAUGGCCCAGGGGAAAACAUUUAAUAACGUUAGAGUGAGUGGACAAAAAUAAAAUAAUAAAUAAAAUAUUUAUGUUUCCCCAAAUUAAUUUCUAAGAAAAAAUCGAAUGCAUGCCGCAAGCGAUAAAACUUUUAUCCCAUAAAAUAUCGAGCCUCUCAGACUCUAUAAUAUAUGUAUGUAUUUACACUCGUCCAUACUCCCUAUAUAAAUUCAUGGGUCUAUAUAGGGCUACUACGCUCGCGUCCAACGCUCACGUCACGCCUUAAUGCAGUGCUACACUACGCCAUCAAGGUGGACAGACGGGUGUAUAAAUAUGUGCCCAUACCCCCUAUAUGAAUUAAACACUCAUAUAGGGCUACUACGCUUACGUCCAACGCUCACGUCACACCAUAAUGCGGCUAUAUGCUACGCCAUUAAGGUGGACAGACACAUAUGGCUAGCUAGCAUUUUCUAUACAUACUCUCUCAUAUAUACAUAUUUAUAUUCACCGAAAAUCCCAUUUUCGGUAACUCUCUCUCAGAGAAAUAAAAGCGUCAAAAUUAAUUGACGGCAAAACUCUAACAAAAGGAAAUGUUCAAUCAUGAACCAUAGCAUGCAUAUUAUUUCAAAUAAAAGUCCACUCACAAAUUAGGCCUAAUCCUGAUGUCGAUCUGGGGUCUCGUCUGCUCGAGCCUCCUCACGUCCUGUUCCAAAUAUAAUAUUAAUUUCCCAACCAAUAAUCCAAUAUUUAAUCAAAAUAGGCAAAAUUACCCGAGAGCCAUAAAUACGCUCAUCAUUGCCUAACUUCGAUAUUCUUAAAUCGGAACGAUCCGAACUUAAAUAUCAUACUCGACAGUCGUAAAUACAACCUCUCCAAAAUACGACUUAAAUCCUACGGCCGGAUUCUACAUUAAUUACCCGCCAAAAAUACCACACUUCAGAAAUUCACAAACCUAUCCAAAUCUCAUCCAAAAAUUCCAAAAUUCACUUCAAUAAUAUCUCCUUAAUAUUCUACAUCAAAAACCAGACAAUUUCCCAAAACAGCGGCGGCGGCCGGCGACCAACUCCGGCGACCUGCAAAUGCUACCAAAUUUUAACAGAAUCUUCCUCUCAAUCUCCUCUACAACUUUCAUGACUAACACAUCACCCAAUUCUAAGCCUAACUAGGCUAAUCGAACGAAAACAACUUAAACACCAUAAAACUUCCACCUCAAAUUCCUCCUUACCUAGCUCAAGAGGGAGUGAGUCCUUUUAGGGCAAGGCUGCUGGGUUGGAGGGCUACAAAACCAUACCAAGCUUGCUCGGAUUGGUGGCCGGAGGAGGAAGUUCCGGCGACGUGAUCCCUAACACAGUCGGACCUCUCGGGCCAGAUAUCUCCCUCACGGCGGCGCUAGGGGAGCUGUCACCGGUCCAAGAAGGUUGCUGGGUUGAAGACCGAUCGAUUGGGACCGGUGCGGCGGUCUGGGGCGGCCGGACGGCGGCGGUCUGGCGGUCGGAAAACGGGACAGCGGGAGGGCUCGGGUGCGGGAGCGGGUGAGGAGAGAAAAUCGGGAGGAAAAGAAUGGGCUUGGGCCUCACACCCCAAACCGGUCCAACACUUAUAAACUAUCCAAAUUCUAAAAUUAAACACCCCGAAAAAUAAUACCCGAAUAAAAAUUACCUUUUACUAGCUAAAAUUUACCAUUUUUACCGUCGUCGUAUUUUCCUCAUACGAAUAAUCCUCUGCACAUAAUCGUCCCCGAAACCCCUCUAGGGACCAAUUAAACUAUUUACUCAAUGAUCGAGACGGUAAAAUUCUUAUUAUAAUCACGCUAGUAAAUAAGGUAAAAAUAUAAGGGUCGGGAUGUGACAGAUUAUAUUCUUGAUAUCCUUGUUAUGUGACAAAUAAUUUGUUCUAUUAUUGCUCUAAAGGAGAAUGAGAGGUUAAUUAUCUGUUAAUUAAGAAUAUAUAUUGUCAUUCUAAAGUUUACACUUGUUCAACUGAAUUUCUAUUAUAGCGCACAUUCAUUAACUCUCAUGUGAUUCCGACUUUUUUUUUUUUAGUACAGAGGAUCAGCCAAAACGGCUCACCCUGUAAUAAAUUUUAUUUUAAAGAGAAAAAAAAAGAAGCACAAUAGCAAUGAGAGGACAUAAAACCAAGCUCCUCAAAAGAACCACAUGAAAGAACAGGGUUCUGUGUCUGUUGAAGACGACGUACUGCGCGCAACAUAUUAGAACGAUUUUGUUUUUUGAUUUUUGAAUUUCAAAGGAUUAGAAAGAUAAAUGAGAGUUUUAAAAAAUAAAAAAUCAAAUCAGGAAAAAUGAAAAAAUAAUUUCGUAAUUAAUAGAAAACAUUAAUAUAUAUAUAAAUACUAGAAAACACACUUUGAUGAUGUGUGUAUGUCACGUCGUGUGCCACAUAAGAUAUGCUCUAGGUGGUUCACGUAGCAUUACUCAUUAAGAUUAGAGCGCACCCAUAUGAUAAUAAUACCUCUGUAAUCUCUAAAUAUUGCUCCAUAACCUGCACGAUCAGAAAAGGCAAAGUUGACUUUAACUUAAUCAACCUACGAAUAUUAAUUAGUUUAGAUCAUUAAUCGCAUUUUCCACUCACAGUCAUCUCUGCGGUGCAUGGAAAUUUGUUAUCAGUUGCAGGAGUUGCUCCAUGAUCAAUGAGUUCCACAUUAUCGCUAUCUAGCUAGGGCAUAUUUCAGUCCCCCGACUACAAGGAUGACAUUAUUCACGAAUCUUACUCAAACAGGCCACUAGGUUUUUCUGCUUAUCGGGCCAAAGAUCGGAAUAUUUUUUUUCAGCGGAAUAUGAAAGCAUAUAAAAGGUAACAAUAAUCAUAAUUACCGAAAUAUUGUAAACCACGUUAGAACUCAAAACCAUAAAAAACCCUAAGGAGCGGCGGCUUCAAGAAUUCGGAACAACCUCGUCCGACCGCAGCCGUGGUCUAGGCUGGUCCAUUUGGCCACGCCGACGAGAGUAUAGCAUUCGUUCUAGUACGCGGUCUACCCAUUCAGCUAAACAUUAGUGUUUCAUAAAUCCAAUCUUUUCAGAUUGCAUGAAAUUGAGAUAUAUAACUUCCAAUAAAUUAAACGGCAUAAUUGUCAAUUUAUCAUCAUAUUAAUGUACUAAUCAUAUGAUCCAAGUACAAAUGCACAAGAUAUAUAUAGUUCACAUCAUCAUUUCGUAGGAUUAAUAUGUCUGAACCAAAAAAAAAGUUUCUCAGAAAUUAAAUUUGUAAUGCUAUUCACUACGUCAUAGCUAGAAUCACCCGUACAGUUGAUGACUUCAUCUAUCAGUCGCUAUUAAGCUGUUGUUGCAAGAACCAUAUAUUCUCUUCAUUCCAUAAAUUAUCCACCGAGUCAUCCCCACCAGGAGUUGACCAACUGUUGCUGCUUUCUAUUUGCUCGGAACCUUGAAAAUCCGAAUCAUCUAAUUGGUAACAACCGGACCCGUAAUUUGUUGAAGAAUAGUAUUGCCCGUUCGUUGGAUAAUAGUUGAUGAGCUCACUGAACUCAGUUCUGGUAGGCUCUCCAAUAUAAUUCAAACAAUCUUGAAGUCCCGUUGAACCGGACGAAGUUGCAGACGUCUCGGGCAGGUAGUGAGUAGACCCAGCAGCCGCCGUGUUACUUUGGUCAGAGAGGCUGUAGUCAUCUGUUGGUGUAAAUGAGGUGGCGGUGGCGGUUGCGGUUGCGGUGGUUUGACCCGAUAACAAAGUCGUAGAAUCGGGUGAAGCCCGGAUCCUUUCCAUUAAGCGUGGAAUCCACACGUAACGCAUGGCGUCCUGGAAUUGUUUGCUGUUAACGUCACAAUUGAGAUGCUUUGCUUGCUUUUGGACUCUUGUUCUCCAGUAGUUCUUGAUCUCAUUGUCUGUUCUUCCCGGCAAGUAUUCCGCUAUCUUCGACCACCUGAACCAUAAAUUCCAUCAGCUUUCAAAUUAACUGUACGUAAAUUCUAACCAAGUAUUAAAAAAAAAAAAGAGACUUUAAUCCCAUCCCAACUGUGUAAGACAGUAAGAGNNNNNNNNNNNNNNNNNNNNNNNNNNNNNNNNNNNNNNNNNNNNNNNNNNNNNNNNNNNNNNNNNNNNNNNNNNNNNNNNNNNNNNNNNNNNNNNNNNNNNNNNNNNNNNNNNNNNNNNNNNNNNNNNNNNNNNNNNNNNNNNNNNNNNNNNNNNNNNNNNNNNNNNNNNNNNNNNNNNNNNNNNNNNNNNNNNNNNNNNNNNNNNNNNNNNNNNNNNNNNNNNNNNNNNNNNNNNNNNNNNNNNNNNNNNNNNNNNNNNNNNNNNNNNNNNNNNNNNNNNNNNNNNNNNNNNNNNNNNNNNNNNNNNGAGAGAGAGAGAGAGAUAUGGAGCUGUGAAUUGUAUUAGGAAUCUAGCUAUAAUCAGGAGAAUGGAUCGGAUUAGAUGAGAAUUGAACGAGGGGGGUUAUAUAAAUUAAGCUGGUAAGAAUAAAACGGUGAGCGUGUGAUGGAACGCAGUCAAGACUAAUCUUGGAUCAAAAGUAGUUUAAUAAAGAAUUAGUGCUAAGAAUUCUACUGGUGAUACAUAAUCAAUAUAUUUUUUACUUUGGAAUUUGACCAUUUGACCUAUCCACCAAGAAACAUAGCGUCUCACGCGCACAGACUAGCUUCUAAUAGAUCGACUAAUACAAUUUACUUGAAUAUUAAACUACAAAUUAAAAUAAUGCAGAGCGGAGUGUUUUAAUUUCUUUAUUAGUUAUAUUCGAUUAUGCUCAUGUUUCAACUUUGAAGACGAAGAUCGAUCUCACUAUAUAUGUACAUAUUUUACACCAUAGCCUUGUGAGAGAUUUGGAAGUAUAUAAUACUAACAAAAUUUGACCUACCAAUUAACCUCUUGUUCUCCAAAGAUCUGGACCAUAUAUAUGCAUGCAUGGUUUGGAAAAUCAACAGCAUUUCUUAUCUCCAUUAAUCUUUUUACUGUUCGAUCAUGGCUGGUGUGAGGUGACUAUAUUGAUAGGAAUUUACCAUUGUUGACGAAAAGGCUGGUGUGCGCACCUACUUAAUUAACGAUCAAAUUAAUCUUGUGCAGAGGAAAGCCAUGCCAGGCUCAUGGUCUUUUUAAUUUGUUAAGUCGGUGGGGCCUUGAUGAAAAUUCACUGCCCUACCGACCUAACAAAUCAUUUUUAUCUUGAUCGAGGAAAGCUGGCUAUAUUGGCUGACUAUUAAGAAAUAUGGAGAAUUCACUACAACAAUAUGGAGCAAAGGCCACACAAGUUAUAUGGCUUUUAAAAUUGUUGCAUUUUCCUAUAAGUGUAGCGAGUGAGGACAGUGACAAAACUAUAUUACGGCCCGGGAGGGUCCGGGACCCCGGUUGGGUUUUUUAAUUGUCUUAAUUAAUUACCUUUAAUUGGGUAGCUUGGUUAUAGCAAAUUUACCCUUAAUUUUGUUAAUGAAUCCCCCUAUAUUAUAGCCAAAUCUGAUUUCGUUCAAAUAUUAGCAUUUAUCAGUUAAAACUUAAACAUUUGAUAGGUUUAUUUUUGUGUUAUCUAAUCAUAAUAUCAUAUCUGUUACAUUUAUUUUCCAUUUAGCUAGUAUUCUUAAUAAGAUUCAAUGCAUUUAUCUUCUUUUUCAUGGUAAAUUUACGGGGAAAAAAUAUUUGUUCUUGAGCUUUUUACUUGGAACCCCUCCCCUCCCCAACCUUGAAAUCGAUCCUGGUUCCGCUACUUAGUUAAGAUAUUAAUGGAGUAUGAAGGGGAAAUAUACCAUACAUGUGUGAAUUGUAACACCUCUAAAGGCCACAUUUGCUCUAUAUUAUUGUAGUGAUUGGAACCUUUUUUUUAUUAUUAUUAUUUAAAAUCGCAGUAUCUCAAAGGCUUCCUAGACUCUAAAACUAAUCCGAUAGGAGUCCGGAAGCCAGCAAGGCAUUGCAGCCGCUCCCCUUGCCACUUUUGACAAUGUCGUGGUGAAAAUGUGUGUUAAAAAUGCACUAGAAUUUCACUGUACGUGAUCCUAAACACAAUUUUUAGACACAAACAUAAAACAUGCAUUGUUAUUUAAUUAGAACAUUAUAUUGCAAUUAGAAUAGUAAUUGGACGAAUAGUAAAAUAAAAACAUUGUUGUGCACUUCUGCUGUGAAUAUUUACGUAUACGCUUUGCGUGCAUUCUCGAAUUUGCGCCCAAGAGGACAGAAAAUAUUGAGCUCUUAAAGGUAAAUUAAUCCCAUACAGAGACAUGAAGUUUAUAUUCCAACUCCUUUAUCUCUAAUGGGAUACUGUAGGGAAGAAAUACCAACAAAGACCAGGACAGUUAGAUUCUGAUCUUUAUCAAAUUAACCAGUUAUUUUAUAGGAAAAAUUUGAGACCCAAAUUCUCAUAAUAAGGAGAAGAAGAAAAGGAAAGUGAAGUCAAAAGUUUGUAAUUGAUGGAUUAAGUGGAAUUGUACCCACAAAAGUGAAGCAUAUAAGGAUAGGAAUCCGUAGUGGCAAUAAUAUUACAAAAGCUCAAUUACUUUAUCGAUGGAAUAUAUCGAGUAAUAUAGCAGUGUUUGAGGUUCAUGGCUUUCAAUUUCUAUGAAACCUGAUGGUGCACAUGCACUUGCUCGCACUUGCGUACUUUCUGGAACAUUAUCUUGGAAGAUGAUGUAGCUGGGUCCCAUCGAUCAGUCCCAUGUUUAUCUUGAAGCAAACAAAGAAUCAGUUUAUCGAGCUCGUUCAAAACACUGGCUUUAAGCCUUUAAUAGAUCAUGACAUCAUAAGGAUACUGAGAACAUAAGGUUUAGCUGACCGUAUAUAUAUUUUGUGAAAGUUAUAGCAGAUGCAUGCAUUUACUGUUUUAGUUCCCACGACAGUAGUGCAGCUGGGAGACCAAACAUAUUGAAGCAUGUAUCCAAUUCGUUGUUGGAAUUUGGUUAUGCAGAACGUACCUCUCCGCAACUGCAGCUAGUUAACACUUCACACCGGCCGGCCAACAAAUAUUUUACGUCUCCGCAACUGCAGUUAGUUAAUACUCAUUGACAUACAUGUCGGUAAACUGUGGCUUGGUUGGUUCGUUAGCUUAAUUAACAAUGUUGAUGUUAUGAGUUCAAAUUAACCUCUUACUAAUCAUCUUAUAUUGAAAAGGGAAAAUGCCCAUUUAGUACUAAUUCAAACCCCUUGUUUCUCAUUCCAAUGAUAAUCUUUUGCAUUAGCCCAUUCUAAUACAAGGUAACCAUUUUUAUGCCCAAAUGCACAAAUCUUUAUGCCCAAAUGCACAAAUCUUUACUAAAGUCUUAACAAACCAUAUUAUUUUAAGACUAUUUUGCCCCCACCUCUUCAACAUGAAAAGACUUGGCCGGAACCUCGGACUCCGGUAACCGGCCGCCGGACACCGGACUCCGGUCACCGGAUUUUCCCCGACAGCCGGAUUCCGGUCACCGGAUUUUCCUCUGUAACCAAUUACUGACCCCCAAUAAUCAGUUACUGACCCAUAAUAACCAGUUACUAACCCCCAGUAACCAGUUAUUGAUUAAUUACUGACACCCGGUAACCAGUUACUGACCCCCCAAUAACUUUUAGUUUUUAGUUACUGACACCCAGUAAUCACUUAGUUUUCAGUUACUGACACCCAGUAAUCACUUAGUUUUCAGUUACUGACCCCUAAUAAUUUUGGUUACUGACCGGAGAGGAGAGAACUGAGGAACCGGCCCGACGGUGAGCACCCACAUUUCUUCUCUGGGCACCCACCUUCCCCGACGGUGAGCACACCGGCCUCCUCCACCGACCCCGGCGCACGCCGGCAAGCAACGCCCUUCUAGGGGAGUAGGAGAAGCGGUGAGGCAGCUUAGAGCCGGUUUCCGGGGCUGUGCGGUUGCGGGUGAUUUUGCGGUGGUGGCGGCACCGGCGAAUGGGACGACGAGGUUGGGCUGCGGCAGAAGAGACGACGGUGACCGCGCCGGGGAUCGGGUGAUUGGGCGCUGCAGAAGGUGGAUCGAGAAGAGAAGGUGGUCAGAGUUACGGAAGCAGACAAGGAGGAAGAAGAGGAGGGAGAAGGCGGUGGUGGCAGCGCCGGCGAGUGGGACGACGAGGUUGGGCUGCGGCAGAAGAGACGACGGAGACGGCGCCGGGGACCGGGUGAUUAGGCGCGGUAGAAGGUGGAUCGGGAAGAGAAGGUGGUCGGAGGAGAUGAAGUAGCGGUGCUUGUGUGGGCAGCUAGCGUCGGAGGAGGAGGAGGAGGAGGAGAGAGAGAGAGAGAGAGAGAGAGAGAGAGAGAGAGAGAGAGAGAGAAGAAGAAAGAAGAAGAAGAAGAAGAAGAAGAAGAAGAAAGAGAUAAAAACUGUGUGAAUUUAAUUAAACACAGGGUAAUAACGUCUUUUUUUCAAGAAUCAUUGGAAUGGGCACAAGGAUAAGACUUUAAUUGGAAUGGGCUUUAGUUUUCAAAUAUUUGGGCAUUAGGGCAUUUUCCCUAUUGAAAACUUGAUACAAAUCCCUUAAAAAGUUACUUAUCCAUAUGAAAUGUUAAUCAGUUGUAUCCUAGAGCAAAAACAAUAUUAACCGCAACCAUAAAUUUUUUAACGAUUGAUUCCAUCUAGGGUGCUUGUAAAUAUACCUAGAAACUUUGAAAUGCACCUAGAAAUUAAGUAUUUUCCACAUUUACCCUCGAUUCUAAUAUUAUACAAACCCAAAGACAUAUCUCUAUUAAACUCUCUCUGUCGUGGCUAGGUUAGGGUUUUUGUAGAGUAAUCGGUUGUGCGGCAUCGAAAACUCCAUGGCAGACGCAAUUGCAACAAUGACCGCUGAGAUAUUACCUGGUGACUUGCAAAAGGGUUUGUGGCUCUAAGAUAUUACCUGGUAGGCCGCUUCUACACUGCCAGAGAAGUGCUUUUUGAUCCUUUUCACAAUGCAAUGCACUCUAUGUGGUGGCUACCAACCCCGUACAGGCCCAUACCUGAGAUUUUCAUACCUGAGUCGAACUUUCAAAAUUUGGCGCUUAAAGUAUAGUAUUCAUUCAAUUUUAUUUUCUCUUUUCAAGAAACACACAAAAUUUUCACGAACUAAAGUUAUAAACUCAAAAUCUAACAACAAAAAACAUUAGAAAUCCUAUUAAAAAUCUUAUUUAUACAAAAAAUUUCUUACUUAGGCUGCUCAUUUUUUCUAAAAUAGUAAUUAAUGAUAGUAAUAUAACAGGUAAAAUUUAAUAUUCAUUUUUCUCUUUUGUAAUCUAACACCACCUAAUUGGAUGUUGUUAAGUAUUUUUGAUUGUUUUUAACUAAACUACAAAAGAAAAUUUUGGGCCCCUUAAGGUUUUGGGCCCUGAGUUCAUCGACUCUUAGGACUUUAUUCAGGUACGGGUCUGCCCCUGUGGAGGUCUAGGGCAAAGACGACCGACUCCUCUACACAUUUACGAGAGUGAGAGGGAUGUGAAUCUUGUAAAAAGGGGAGGACCUUGGUGCUAUAUAUCAACGUGCCAUGAUCAUGUUGAAUGACUAUGAUAGGUUUUCUAACAUCAUGGUUGUUUCGCUAAAUUUUGUGUGAAUUUAGGUUGAGAUCCAUGGCCUUCUGGCUGUGCUUACUAUGGUGGAACCGGCAAGUUGGUGGGCAAGACCAUUGGACCUGUCUUGAGGGUUGAUGAGGCGAGUACAAAUCGUGAAGUUGUGCGCGUUCAUGCCACCCUUCCCCUGAACAAUCAUGUGUGUCUGGAUAAUUGAUGUUAUUUAAGAGUUCAAGUAUGAACGACUUCUAUAGGAGGUGCAGAGAUUGCAUAAUGAUUAACGAUGGGGGACUUCGCUCUGUCUGCUACGCCUCCAAUGGUGUUUCGAGGGUCUGUGUCUACCUCAGCUACACUCUUUGUGCCAACAGUGUCCCUCUCCAAAGAGAAGAAUGCAACAACUAUUAGAGAAGUACUUGAAUUCCCUUCCCCCACCAAAAUUAUUGGGGUACGUCGUGGAAGAGAAGUUGAAGAAUCUGGUGAUGGUAGAAGACCAAAACACUCCCUGGCAUUAGUUCCCAUGCCACUAAACCCAGAGGAGAUGGGUUUCUUUGUUACUGAAUCAAGGGUACUUGGUAUCAAGAAGACAGGUAAGUCACCUAAGAAAAGAGGACAUCCCCGCAACAGCCGUAAUAAGAAGAUGUUUGGUGAAGCUUCUGAUGCCUCUGAUUUUAAUGGCAUCUAACUUGUCUGGUUCUACAAUGGUUAAGAAUAUCGGCCUCGUCUCUGAGGUUGAGGAGGAAUAGUUUCCCUAGUGCUACUAGCUAGGAAAGAUUCCUUUCAAAACCCAUGCAACUACUCUCUCUCUCUCUCUCUCUCUCUCUCUUCUCAUCGAUAAAAGGUACACCACUUGAGGUCUUAGGCCUCAUUCGUUGAGGGUAGAGUGGUUAAUAGGUGUUUGGAAAGUUAUUUGCUAUUUUUAGUGAGACAUAUCCACCUUUUUGUAUGUAGUUUUGAGAUUGUUUUUCAAUUCUUAGAAAUAGUUUGAUUUAGCUUUGUUAUGUGCUUGUAUGGUCUUUGGACUGUUCAUGCUUGAUCUUUUGGUCAUCAUGAUCUUUGAUCAACGGAUUUAUCUCAUUCCUAAUAGAAAAAAAAAAAAAUCAUUAUCUAUUAACAGUUUAAGCUCCGAGAAUAAAUCAAUGUAGAGGAUAAUCUUGGUCGGUUUGUUGUUAUUGUGGUGAUUGUUCAUUUGUGUCAGAGUAAUUGGGUUGUCCUAUUCAUCCCACAUCAUGGUUGAUUGGGGAUGAUUUUAGUGGGUUUGAGUGAAUUGAAGUGAAGAGAUAAAUAUGAUAAUUUACUAGGGCUGGCAACAGAUUCUUCAUCUUAGUCGCAAUUUUAUCAUAUUUAUCUCUUCACUUCAGUUCACUGAGACCCAUUAAAAAUCAUCCCUAAUCAAUCAUGAUGUGGGAUGAUCAACCCAUUAAGAAUUAGUUUAUGAAGCUAGCAUAUUACUGUGUUUAUGUGUCAAGAUAUUAGUUUAGUGUAGAAUGCCAUAUUUAGCCUAAGCCUACCCAAUUUUCAGCGAAUGGUAGUUUUAUUGUUCUUAAAACUACUAAACUCUCUAAUCCUUCACGGCUUCACCUAUUGAUGACUAAUAAACAAUUUCGUAACCACCAAAAGUGUUCGGUUAGUAAGAGCCUAGAUAUGUAAAUCCUCAUAUUCGAAACAUGCCGACGUUGGUUGAAGUCUCAAUAUAUUCUUGGUGGCUAGGAAGAAGAAAGCAUUUUGGCAUGAUCUCUCGGUAUAGAUUAGUUUUUAGGUAAAGAAACGUGAUCUUGAUUAAAAAUAAAAAAAUAUAGAAAAAAAGAUUUUCUGUUGAAGGAAAAAUACCGUAAGUGUGCAUUCGUCAAAGUAACUGACGAAAGUAAAUUAGUAAGUUAUUAAUCAAUAGAUGUAACCGCUCAAUUAGCCAUAUCAGUUAUUAUGUACGUUGUUAUUAACAUUGAAUAUCACCAUUAUAUGUAUAAUUACGUUUGUAAUCGACCUCGAGGAAUGUUAAUGAAGUGAGUAGGCCAUUCCGAUUGUAUUUUUACUUUUACAUUUUCGUAAUUGUAUCCAAUAAUUCAAAUUGAAAAUCCAAAAUUAUGGCUUGGGCUUAAGACGUAAUUGAGGCCCAUGUCUAAUUGUUCAAAUCAGACUGCAGCUCCGUGAUCGAGAUUUUGUGGUGUCAGACUCUCAAGUUUUGAAUGGUCAGCUCCCUUCCUGCUUUGUAACUCAGUUUGACUAUGUCUGCUGCUUCUGCAACCGCUGUAGCAGCCUACAUAUCUAGACUAAACUGUACCAGUCUCACCCACGUACCCGUUUGGAGGAGCCCUUCUUCUCUAAGACCACAGCCGUCUCUUACUCGCAUCUUCUUCAAAAUCCCAUGUGGAUUUUCCCAGCAAAGCUCGGUCCUCACUGGAUUCAGACGUCUUUCCCCUGUUAUGCAAUGGCAGGACUGCACGUAAUUUCCAUCUCUCCUUGCUUUGAGAAUAUUGAUUCUUGUUUGUUUAUUUACAACGAUUGUCGGAAAGUAAUUUGUUCUAUUUGGUAAUUCAUGUGGUUAUGAGGAUCUUCAAUGAUUAGUCAGAACCCAUAUCAGCGAAUAUUUACUGAUUCUUUUGUUGCUUCAUCGAGUUACAGUUUAAUAUAUUUUGAUUUGAGGGUCUAGACUUCAUAUAUCUGAUUUUGUUGCAAUCAACUCCUUCAGUGUAGUCUAUUCUUAUAGGUUGCUUCUCAAUCGAUUAGGAAUGCACGAUGGUUUUUAUAUUGUAAGUGCUUAAAUGAUUAAUGACCCGUCUGUGUUUUAUCAUGUUGGUGCUUCUUAUGAUGGUUUAUAUCUCUUACUCAGAAUGUAGUAGUCAAGGUAACCAUAGAUAAUGUUAAUGGAGUUCUUGAAUGAGGUCUAUUCGACUAGCAUGUAUGUUCUACUAAUGUCUAGACAAUGUACUUAAAUGCAGAGUAAAGACGGAAAUUGAUGUGCCUAUUUCAGUUGCAUAUGAUUGUUACUCUGAUCGUGAGGCAAUUCCCCAAUGGAUGCCCUUUAUUUCUACGGUAAAGGUACUAAACAAGUCUCUCAACACUAGUUUGGUGACCUUCAAUUAUAUUGAAAUAAACUUGUGUUUGAUCCAUAAAAUUGUUUAUUUGAAAAACAUAGGUAUUAGAAGACAAGCCUGAUCUAUCACGAUGGUCGCUUAAGUAUAGAGCUUUUGGGCGUGAUAUUGAAUUCUCAUGGCUUGCUCGAAAUAUGCAGGUAAGAACCAUAUACCAUGCUUAAAACUCAAAAUUCUUUGUUUCCCUUUCAUAAUAUGCACACCUAUCAUCAGAACUAAGCGAUUUUUUUUGUGGUUGACAAUACUAAGCAGUUGUAUAAUGUAUUCUAACAAUGCUCUCUUUCAAACUAUGGUUCAAUUAUUUUCAUGCAGCCAACCCGAAAUCAGAAAAUCCACUGGAGAUCUCUGGAAGGUCUUCCUAACAGGUGUGAAGAAGAGAAACAUUAGCUGAACUGUGUACUAGUAGCUAUAGGUCAAGUGUGUGCAUUUAAGUCUUUAUAUGUGCUGAAAAAAAAUGCAUAUUAGAUAUAAUUUGCUUUGCUGUUAUGACAUUAAUGCUAGAGCUUAUGAUAGAACAUCUUAUCGUAUUGAGGUAUUAGGUUAAAAAUUAUUGAAGGGAAUAUGUGAAGUCAGUUACUGGAAACAAAUUCAUAUAAAUUUGUUCUGGUUCAAAGUGCACCAGGAGCUUAAAUGUCCGUACCAUCCCUAACAAGCUCAAUCACCAUAUUGUACUAUUUUAGGUUUAUCUUAUAUAUAAGACUCAGAAAUCACAGGAUGGAGAUAUGUACUUCAGUUUUCAAAGAGUCCGCAACAUUCAUUAUAAAGUAUGUCACAAGAUGAUGUUAUGCCCUUGUUAUUUACGCUAUAACAUGGAAAAUUAUAACACUGAGCGUGAUGUUUCUUAUUAGGUAUAACAUAAACAAUAGACUAAGUUUCUGUGUUUUGUUGAUAUCAGAAUUUUGAUAUACUGAUUUACUUGCAUGGCAGAGGCGCUGUUCGUUUUUAUCCAAAAGGUUCAUCGUCAUGCAUAGUAGAAGUGAGGCUGCUUUCUUCUAUAUUGAAUUUGAAUUGCUCACAAUUAUAUUUAUAUUGUUAUGGAUCUUCUGUAUCCAUCAGUUCCAAUCAAUGACAGAUAGGCAGUGUUUAGUGCAUUCAAUCGGGCAUAUGAAGGCCAUUCAAUUGAUGCUGCUCAGAUCAUUGAUUUUCAGUUUGAUUAUUUGAAAUACAUUUCUAUGCCCCUGGCCAUCAAUUGAACAGCCCGAUGUCUUUUCGUCUAAAGUAACAUCAGUGGUGUCACUGACUUGGUUUUCCUGUUCUGGCCUUUUCUGAGGAAGAACUAGGAAAAAUACACUUCUAUUUCUUAGUCUCUGUCGGGUAGCUCAAAUUGUUUCUUUUUGUUUUUCUCUUUCAGCUAACCGUCUCUUAUGAAGUUCCUGCAAUUUUGGUUCCAGUGGCAUCAGUAAGUACUCUAGCUACAGAUAACAUAUCAGACUCCAUGUAAUGCAAGUUAUAUGACAUAGGAUACUAGCAACCCUCUCUCUAACUCCUAAUGACAUUUAACAAAAAGAAAAAGGAAAAAUAAACUUUAGAUAGAGGGAGAGAGGGAGAGGGCUAAUAUCAAAUAAAUUGACAGUUUGUCAUCAGAAUCAGACUUCUGCAACCGUAGAUUUGUUUGAUAUUCUUACUAAGAUAAUUUUAGAUGAUGAAAUAUUGAAAUGUGCCUUUCUGAUAAUAAUACAUUACUACAGUAGGAAAUGACAAGAAAUGGAGAAUGUCUAAACACUAAAGGAAAUGUACACUUGUUAUGUGGCUUGAUUGCAUCGCAUAAAGAAAUAUAGCAAAUGUUGUUUGUUCGAAGCAGUCCCUCAUUUUGAUUCGUAUGGCAUGUUCCAGGCACUGCAACCUUUUACUGAAAGUUUACUUGCACGCGGCUUGGAAAGGUUUGCAACAUUUGCGAAAAGCUACAAAUCGGACUCAACUGUUUGAUGUUACAUAUGGUAACUGAACUUGUAAACGGGUGAUCAUUUUAAUGUGCAGUGAUUGCCAUAGAUUCAUUUAACAUGGCAAAUUAAUAUUUCCAAUGGAAUCUGAUUUUUCACCAAGGCAAACAAGUGGCUUCAUUUCAUUAAUGAUCUACCAGAGAGCUGCCAUUUUACUGUGUUAUACAUACGACAGAAUAUUAUCAAGAAUACAUCAUUUCUUUUUUCAAUACUCUUGUAGUUCUUGUUGCUCAGAUUGUUGGAUCACCAAAGGCUUAGCCAAAUACUUGAGCUACCAAGGCGUAACCGCAACUGUAGUUGGUCUUAUGCAACACGCUGAAAGAACAUGACUGUUUUUGUAGCGAUAGAUAUGAUCUUUCUAUAAAACGAAAGAACUGAUGAUGGAUGAGUAGUCUGUGCCCCAAAACAGUUUAGAGUUGAGAAAACUAACAGAGUCACUAGCAAGCUCGUCCAGUGCGGAAUACAUGUUGCUGGUUAGGUUAGCCAAGCUUCGAAAAGUAAAUGCCUCUUUGGGGAUGAAAAAAAAAGCUAAAAAGAUCUCAGAUAUUAAUGAUGACAAUGUACAUAGAUACAAAUCAGUGGAUCUACAACAGAUGGACAAUCUAUGGACUGCUGACGAUAAGAAUGCCUCAACAUACGGCUUUUACAACACAACCUGCAUCCGCCUCCCCAUUCUUAUGUAUAUGUACAUCAAAUCCUGAGCUGAGCUCACUGGGCCAGGCGAAGAUGAGAAACUGAAACACCGACAAAACUGGUAGCUGCCAUCUCAUAAAUGAAGCAGCCAAAACAAUGUAUGAACACUCUCUUGACAAGAAGACAUUUAUCAGAGAAGUUGAAUGUGCAAUCAGCCACUGCUGUCCAACAAGUUCCUCAGGCUACAAAGGGCCUCCGCAGAGAGGCUGCAACACCUAUAUCUUCGUUCCCGAGGCGGUGAUAAUGGUUCCCGCUGAUCAAGAGAAGAGAAGCACACAACAAUCACUGUAAGAUUAUCAAACGUGUUGAGGCGAAGAGCCUCCAUGACUAGAUCCUUGGCACACUGCUCUGGGUCAUCAUGCCGCCGCAGCCCACGGCGAACAAGGCUAACUGCAUGCUGACUUGACAUCACAUCCCAGAUCCCAUCACACCCUAUAAUGAGAAACUCAUCUUCCUCUGUUAAAUCCAUCCUUCGGAACUCUGGUUCAGCUAUAAGGGGUGAAGCAGAACCACGAGGAAACUUCAUGUCCCAGUCACCUAAGGCUCGGGAAACUGAUAAGACACCAUUCAGAUACCCAUCAUCAACAUAUCCCCCCAGUUCUUCAACUCUCUUGCGUUCAGAGGGAUAAAUUGGCCUAUGGUCUUGGGACAUAUCAAUUGCCUCUCCCUUCCUGCAGAGAACAGCUCGACAAUCACCAGCAUUGGCUACUAUCAAAAGCCUGAAAAAAAAAAAAAAAAAAAAAAAGGAAAACAAGUUCAAUCACAAGUGGAAGAGAAUUAAAAGUAGAUAAUGGACAUAUAUACAGGAACUAAUGCCACACAGCCCAAGUUGAAUCAAAUGAGAUAUCGACCUCUUCUUCUUGAGAAACUAAUAAAGAAACACUGACAGAGUAAAAUGACAGCAGAUGAUUGUAAGGAUUUGGUUAUUAUCUAAUUACAGACUACGUCAACGAAAUAGUCUUUUCCUUUUGGUACAGUAAGAAGGGAAGUAAGAGAAUUCUAAGCAGAUAUAUACCUUCCAAAGAUCAUAGCAGUUAGUGCUGUUGUCCCAGAUGAACUGCUUACGCUGCAGUCAUCUGCCAAUGCAAGGUCUACCUGAUGAAAUGCGUUACUUAGAGUAGUCUCCAGCUCCUCUAAGAAAAUCUUAUUAACCUCAGAAGCUCGGGGAAAAUUGACAUCAUCAAACAAGAGUCUCAUCACAUUUUUUCGAACAUAAGCUGCUGCUUCAGGUCCUCCAUGUCCAUCAAAUACCUAUACAACAUGUCCAAUUAAAGUAAGCUUCAAAAUCAUGUUUUAUUCAAAAAAAAAAAAAAAGUAAAAGCUUAAAAACUAGAAACCAGAGUAAGUUUAUUACAAUGGCAAACUCAGAAAUAUCAUUACCCCAUAAAAAGCACUUGGGGUGGGAAAACUAAAGAGCGAUCCCAAGUGUGAAGAUAGAUCAUCUAUCAGUAUAUGUUCAUCUUCCAUGUAUCUACGGGGUCCAAUGUCAGCGAAGCUACCAGAACGGAGCCUGGGAAAGAAUUCCUGGUCAGCCGUCUCAUGAGCCAAGUCUGAAACUUUAUCUGCCGGUUUACCAUCCUGAAAAGAAGUAAUAGAAAAAGAUCAAUACAUGUUAGGCACUUUAAACUAGUUAGAUUGCACCCGGAAGCAUUAUUUCUAAUUAGCAGCAGUUCAAACUUCAAGUUCAAUUUUGAUCAAAUCUUAUAACACUGAGGGAAGUAUUAUGCUGACAAUAAUAUUUGGAUUAAGAGUUUAUAAAGCUGAAACAUGAGCCAAAUGCCCAGAUUUCAAGUACUUAAACCUCAGAUACUAUCAUCAACAUUUUGAUGACUACACAGAUUGUUUCUAAUAGAUUGCUCCUUUGCCAAAUAAUAAAAGCACAUAUUCAUCAACACAAUUCUCUUUUUUGGGACCCCAGAAAGCAAAUGAUCCAACAGAGUUUCAACUGAAAACUAUCAGGGUCGACAUAAUGAUGACUAAACACAACAUCAUUCUUAUUUUCACCUAACCCUUUUUGAGUGAUGCAAUCAUAUUUUAUUACAUCUACCCGAAUCAUUGACAAGGUACCUGACAAAGAAUCAAAUUAACCUUUACCUUGUAAAAACUAUCUUUGCAUUGGUAAGAACGAUUAUCAUGUCUAUUAAUUUGUUACUUUUCUAUCUGUAAUUGAACUGAUCCAAGACUCUUUUUUAUCUUAAACCAAGUCAGCAAUCCAAAACAACCCAGGCCUACUGUUAAGCAAAACAUCAAACCCAGAUAGUAACUAACUAACCCAGAUAGGAGAUCAAAUAAUCACAAAAGAAGACAACUAUUGAAGAUCAGAAAUUAUAAAACUCACAGGUUGGGCAGCAGGGGAAACCGACUCCAGAGGGCGAGUUGGGUCAAACAAAGUCUUCGGAGAAAUCGAUGCAACUACAUCUUCAACAACCUCAUGAACGUUCAUCCCUUUACCAAACACCUCAACGUUCUGCUGACACAUGAUCUUAGUUUCUGCCACCAUUUUCACUCACAAACAUACCACAAACUAAUCCCACUACACAAUUUCUCAAACUUGAACAACUCGAACAACACAACUUUUACCGACGACCAGGUGAUUCGUAUAUUUGUCUCGCGGCUUCUAGAGAGGAGUUGGAUGAAAUGGGUUGAAAAAUUUGGAGGAGUUUGGGUUGAGCUCGCUUUUAUAUGAAACAAAAGGUGACCGGGUACCGGUGGCGUUGUUAGGUCCGGGUACACGUGUCGGCUUUCUGAGGCUUACUGUUGAGUGCACAUGUUGAGGGGUGACUUGGCAUGUUUGCGGACGCGUGACCCUUUGGACCAUUUCCACGUAAUUACAAAAACGCCCUUCCUCUUGUUUCCUCGACCUUCCUGGAAGGUGAGUGAGUUGUCCAACUAGUCGGGUUGACUUUUUGUACGGUGGGAAUCGGGAUAUUUGAGGGGUAAUCUGGACAAUGUGUGGGACAGAGUUGUGAUCUCGGCGUUCACGCUGACGGGUUGGUGACGAGAGCAAUGAGAGACAGUUAGGAGUAGAAGGACGUGAAUGCCCCUCGUUGGAGUAACAUGCGUAGCUUCUUGAAAUCGAACUUGUAAAACGCGCACGAGUAACGUUGCGCGGCAAAGUCAACACGGUAAUUUGGACGCGUCAACGGUCUCUAGUCAAAAGGGUAACUCGUCCUUGCAAAGGUACAACUUAUCCACACAUUUGUUUGUGCAUACGUGAACCUAGGCCGACAAUCGAUUAUUCAUACGCGGCAAGAUAAUCGAUUAUCCAUUUCAGAAUUAUAAGAGAAUCUUUAGAUUUAGAUUAUCUAAAGCAUGCAUUUGUUUUACAAUCUUAGCUUAGCAUGUUUUGCACCUUAGAGGAGCCAGAUUCGAUAAUUUGAUUAUCAACCUGCAAAUGGUAGAUAAGAUGCAGAUGAUUGACUCAUUAGCAGAUACACUUUGGGACAAACCAUUACCCACACCAAACUUUGGGGCAGACAUACUUUUCAUUACUAUAUAGAGAUGAGUUAUUGAGUUUAUCUGGAAGACUCAAUUUGGCAAGUGAUGGACGCAAGUAGAAUAUAGUAAUAGGACACGAUAUAGUUCACCUUCCGCCGUGGUCCUAGCUAAUUAUAUAUGCUUUUAAGGUAAAAUUUUGUGUUUAUCAAUUGGCAAGUAGUAAAUUCCUUUACGUAGGUUGACCCAAAAAGACCUUGCAUGAUUGCCUCGUGCCUUAAAUAGAAGUAAUCAUUAGCAUCACGGGAAGGAGUAGGACUAUCUAGUCCUAUCAUAUAUUAAUCAGGAUCCUUGUACAGCUGGUUUGAUUCUACUGGAAGUUUAUGAUUUACGUUCUAAAUUCUUAUCCAGGUGAUCUAAACUGGUCUGGUUCGGUUAGGUACUUAUGUCCAAUUAUUUGUGCCCUUAGUUUCAGCUGUCAAGAUAAUUAGCUAGGUAGCGUUUGGAACCUGGUGCUAGCUAACUCGAAUUACUAUAUCCAAAUCUCUACCAUCAAAACAAAAAAGUUCUUUCCUAAUAUAUAGUCGAUUAGGUCCAGGGCUGCAGAAUGCAGACACAUAUGAUAUGAAUCUGUUUUAAAUUUAGGGUAAAGUGGGUUUGGUGGUCCGACUGCUCGAUCAAUUAGUCACUAACCAUACGUAUAUAUGGUUCGAAAUAAAAUUCAAUAUGAUGACGACUAAGACUCGGUAAUUGCUAAAUUAAUCUGAGCCCUAUCCUAGCUCCGUCCAAACUCCAAAGAUUAACUGGUGGCGGAUUCCCUGGCCCUAAACUUGCUUUGUUGAUUGUUAUUGUCAUUCAUUGUGUAGUGUAGCUAGGGUUCAUGCGUGGUUGGCCUAGGCGCCUAGCCGAUGUUCGAGAAGAAUAAGAUUCUUUGUUAUGAAAGAUUGCAGAUACAUAAUAUGAGUGUGACGUCUAGCUACGGUCUCUCCCUCGUUCACAACCCAAUUGCAGUCGGGAUGUUUAUCCUUUUUUUUUUUUGAUCAAAUAAGAUGCAUUCAUACGGAAGAUGUUACAAGUGGUAUGAAUAAUACAAGUAGGGCCACUAAUAGACCAUUUAUAACAAAUCUCAGACCGAGAGGCCUGAAAAAUGAUUUCCUAAAAGAGCUCCUAAAUCUCCGGUACACCACGAGACAAGAAAAUGAUCAUUAAUACCAGAAGACUCGUCCGACAAAUUGCCAACAAAGUUGGUAAGAAAGCGUCAGCAUCCCAACGGGUAGCGGCUCUAACCCCAUGAAGGACAAAUGCUCGAGUCAACUCCGCCUCCUGAUUAGUGAAUACACGUGAUAAUUGCGGGUGUAAACCGUCAUCACUAUAUCAGCGGUGUAUUGUAAUCAGCCCAAGCACGACCACAAAGGAUCAAAAUUAUUCAAACACAGAAAAACUUAACAAGCAGACACAAUAAGCAAAUAAACUAGAGAGAUACAGAAAACCUCAUGGGUCAACGAGACCAGACCCAAAGCUGGAAAGGCCCAAAAGCCCCAUCCGAGGCCCAGUCCAAGCUAGCCUUGGCCCAGACCCAAGAGCACCCCAACUUCUGCUACCAUCAGCGACCCCCAAAGCCGACCCUCAACGCCUCUGCCCUACUAUCGUCAGUUGAUAAUCUAGGCCAACACCCACCGGCCUACCUCGUCGCUACCGUCGAAGCAUCCUUUUUUAGAUCGGCAACCCACCUCACCUUGCUUCAACCAACCCCUAGGACAUUUCACCAAAGACAUCAGAUCACCAUAGAUCCUCACCACAAUCAGCUACAUGCCCAGACUAGCCCGAUCUGAACAAGAGAACUGUAAUAUCCCGGAAUUUUGGUUUUCUAUUUUUAAAAAGAAAAUUAUUUUGGGCCAAUUACAUAGAAGUCCACUUUCACACAUUUUCUUCCACAUAAAUCCACCCAAACAUUUUUACUCAUAUAAGUCCACCUAAGCCUAAAUAAGGUUUUAUAUUAGGUAUAGAGGUUGAACAAAAUUACAGACUGUCAUCUAAAAAAAAAAAUUAGAUUCUCCCCUUUAUAUUUACAAGAAUGCCACUAGUAUAUAAAGUCAACAACCACUCUCAUAUCAGAAAAGUCUCCAGCCGACGUCCGGCGAGGUUUCCGACAGACCUCCGACGAGGUUUCCGACGAUGACAAAAAUUACUACUACCAGUUACAAAAGCUACUACCACCAGCUAUAAAAGCUACUACCACCGCCUACAAAAGCUACUACCACCAGCCACAAAAGCUACUACCACCGCCUACAAAAGCUACUACUGUGAGGUUUCCGACGAACACAACAACUACUACCACCAACCACAAAAUCUACUACCACCAGCUACAAAAGCUACUACCACCGCCUACAAAAGCUACUACUGUGAGGUUUUCGACGAACACAAAAGCUACUACCACCAGCCACAAAAGCUACUACCACUGUCGACAAAAGCUACUACUGUGAGGUUUCUGACGAACACAAAAACUACUACCACUAGCCACAAAAACUACUACCACCAACUACAAAAGCUACUACCACCGCCUACCGUCAACGUGUGAAAAAAAUACUAUCACAGUGUGAAAAAUAUACUAUCACCGUGUCGAAAAUAUACUAUUACUAUGUUGAAAAUGUAUUAUUCUACAAUGAUGCUGAUACAUAGUUACAGAUCUCAAUUUCAUUCGUCUCAUACACUAUCAGAACACGAUUUCGUGAUUUCUCUUCCAGUAAAUUUCUAUUGAAUUACAAAUUCCAAACGAAGAGCGACAUUAAUACAGAACAACAGCCUAAUCUUUGUUUACAAAUUCUCAAAACAAACAAACAACUCCAACCAAAUUACAAUCGCAUCUUACCAGAAAUGUCACCUCCAAAGGAAGAUCUGGAUCUUCAAGCCGCCUUUAGAUCUGGUACUUCUUGNNNNNNNNNNNNNNNNNNNNGAGAGAGAGAGAGAUUUCAAUGGGAAAAAGAGAAACUGAUUUUUGGUAGAGAGAGGGGAGGGUAUUUUGGGUAUGGUGUAAAAGUAAUAUGACAAAUCUGACCCAUAAAAUGGACUUAUAUAGGUAAAAAAGUUAAAGUGGCCUUAUGAAGAAAAAAAUGUUGAAAAACUGACUUUAAUGAAAUUUUCUAUUGGUAUUAUCCAAAUUUUUAUUAAAAUAGAAUUUUGUAGCGGCUAGAUCUGGACUGUUGGAGUUUAAACCGCAAGAUCUUGAUUGUUCAUUUGAGAUUAUAUUUGGGAACGGAUAAAGCGGUAGAACAGAAGACAAAACCCAGACCGACUUCGGUCUCGAGUUGCUCUGCAGCGACGGAGCUCAGCUCCCUCCUCCGUCGUCCGGCCGCCUCCCGGUGCAAGGCUGGUAUCCACAGGUCCGUCUCGUUGUCCCCGUCCUCAAGAUGAUCUUCGUUUUCGAUGGGAAGCUCCGGUGAGAGAGAAAAGGAGGAGAAGAAUUUCUAGGUUUCCGAUCGAGUUCGUGACUCCGGCCACGGCGGCGAGCGUGACCGGUAUUGGUAGCUUCGACUCGUCCUCCCCAUCCUCCCUGCGGUCUCUAUUUCGUCAAAGGAGCGUCGAUGAGAGAGAAUUGAGCAGAGGAAUGUUUUAGGUUUUAGGCCGUGUUCUUGAUGUUUUCCGGCCACCGGCGAAGGCAAGCGAGGUAUCAAUCUUCAUCUAAUCGUCGAGCUUUACAUGUUUCUAUAAUUGAAAUUGAGUUUGGAUUAAGUUUGGAAGAAUUUGGGUAUUGGGGCAGUGUUGUGGUGGCUGUUGUUCAUAACGGCAGUGGUGGAGGAGUUGUCCAAUUGCUUGUUAUCUUGUGAAGUUUAUAUUGAUGCUCUCUAAAUAGGUUGGCUUUGUUAAGCUUGAUUUUAUAUUGUCGAGAGUUGGAUUAUCAUAACGAAGAACUGGUGUUGCUCGAGAGUUAGGAAGAAUAAUUGCUGCUAUUUUGGCUAUUAUUAAUAGAUGUUGUUUUGGCUAUUAUUGAGGUGUGCCUUACGAAAUGAAUGGAAUUAGGAGCUUUGUUUUUCAAGAUAGAGGAGCUGAGUCAUGUGGAAGUGCAAUUAUAGGACAAAUUGAGAAGGCUGUUGUGUUUGUGAUGGUUACUGUGCUUGGAGUCCACAAUGGUGGUGAUCGUGAUCAUACUUGAAGAUAUGGAGAAUUGGAUUUACUUUAUUGUCAAGGGAAGUUGGUAAUUAUAGAUUUUGGUCAAGAACUUUUCUAUGGUGAGCAGUGAUGGUCUUAAAGUUUAUUUGGCAAUCCGGCUAGAGCAUGAGAAUAUGUAAUUUGGUUGAGAGUAACAUUGGGUGUCCUUGGUAGUUUUCAAGGACUUGAUCACAUUGAUUUGAAGUGAUCCGCCGACUUUCUCGGAAAGAGGAUUUGAUACGAGGAUCGAGUGCGAGUUGCAAGAUUCCAGAAGCAGAAGGAUAAGGAUUUCAGAAGCGUGUUGCAAUGUUACUAAUUUUAAUUGGCGUCGAAGCUAGCGCUUGGAUUUCAGGUAGGGUCUUUCUCGGGGAACCUUUAUUUAAAUUGAUAAUUAGAUUAUUAAUGAAAUUGUUGGUUUGUGUGGCAUUGAUUGAUAACUCUUGAUUGUUGAUUGUUAUUGUUUUCCUUAAAAGCAUGUGUAAUCGUUGAUUUAUAUGAUUGAUGUUAUUGCUUUCCUUAAAAACAUGUGUUUGAUAUUAUUAUAUUACGCGUAUCGAUACUUGAUUGCAUACAUAAUGCAUUGUGAGGAAUUGUGAGGAUAAUGAGAUUAGUGAUUAUGGAGAGAAGUGAAUGAGAUCGAUAGAAUAGAUACAUUUUGUGUAGUUGAGUUUCCUCAUGGGGACUUCCAGUAGCUAUGAUCAGCCCACUUGCGCAAAUGAGUUGGGAAAGUAUGCCCUUUCGACGUAUGAGUCGAUAAAACAAUCUUUCGGGUUUCGGGACUGUGGACCAUGAAGGUUAACAAAAGACUAACAAAAGAGAUACUAGAGUUUAUAUAUUACUGAUUUGUUAGGUCGUAUAUUCGAGACAAUCUACACGGUAUGAGACGUGUAGGUACAUUUGUCUUGGGUGUAUGGACUAAUUAGCCAGUAAUAGAGUGGAGAGAGUGCAUUAGCAUUUAUGCAUCAUUUUUGUCGUUAUUUAUUUAAAGUAUUGUUGGAUGCUUGAUAACUUGGUUGUUUAACAUAGUUAAGUAUAACCUAAAGAGGUUUGGCCCUACUGAGCGUAAGCUCACCUCUAUAGAUUUUUGUUCAGGUGUACGAGUACGACACGUAUUUCUAGAAGACUAACUGUGAAGUUAGCUUACGUGUACAAAAGUCGAGAAGUACGGAAGAUUAGAAGUGAGCUAGACCUUAAGACUUAUUUUGUUUUUGUAAUUAGUUUUGUUAUUUGUAAACGUUUUAUUUUCUUUUAUUUUUACAAUUUCUAGAAAAGUAUUUGAAAUUGUUUUAGUUUCUUUUACUUUUCCCGCUCAAGUCUCGGGUUUGGCGUCAGGUGCUUGGAAACCACCGACACCGGGUUCGAGGUGUGACAAGAACACUAGAUCGAGGCACACAACCCCCUAACAUCUACCUCUCCACCAACACUGCAUUUAGAUCUCCAUUGCUUCCCAAUCAAAACGGAACUGCAACUGACACUUCCAUUCACUUCCUAGCCAAACCAGACACCAAGCCAAGAUGGUAGAAAGAGGCUAGGGCAAACAAAAGCAUCUGCCGGCGUUCUUGCCGUUGCGUCUCGGCUGGGAGAAGAGCAACUCUCUCUCUAGCUUUUUCUUUUUGCUGGCUCGUUCUAGGCGCGUGGAAGAAGAAGAGGGAUGUUCCUCUCGGUGUUAGGAUGUUAUCCUGAAUGACCUUACCUGGUGCAAAGGCACCUUGGUUCUUCAAAAUGUAUUUUUUUAAAAGUGGUCUUAAGCGCUUAACUAUGAUUUUUUGUGAUAAUUUUGUAGGUGACAUUACACAGACUAAUUGGCCUAAAUCGAGAAACAAACUUCUCAAUCUUAGGGAUUAAGAGCAUCUCUAACAACUUUCCCAUUUUCUUGAUUUUAUCAAUUUUAGAGAAUAUUGGGUUGUUUUGUGGUCCAAUUUCCUCAUCUCAUUCCCUAAAAUGGGGAUGGAGAAGAAAGAAAAGCACUUCUUCCCCAAAUUUGUAGCAAAGCCUUUUUUCCCCAAAUAUUAAUUAUUUACGUGUUCCAACGAUAAGAACAAAAAUCUAGAAUAUUUUAUUGUGUAAUUUAUGUUAAAAUAAAAUAUAUGAUUUUUUUUUUGUUAUUAUUAAUAAUCAUGUAACAUAUUUUAUUGUUGUAAUAAAUGCUGAAAUCUCUAAAAUGGAGAAGCUGUUGGAGUUGGAGCAUAAUUUUUUUAGAGAUUUUGGCUUUUGUUUUCCUAUUUUAGAGAAAUUUUAAGGAAGCUGUUGGAGAUGCUCUAAGGCAAUAUUAGUAUGGUUGAUAUCAUUUAAAGGGAAGUUUUUUGAGAAAAAAAUAUUUAAUCCAAGAUAUAGUCUUGGUCAUUACAAAUUUCAUUACUCAUUGAGUGGUACCGGUAGCAAUAACAAGUCUUAUACAAACGGAAGGAUUCGUUUAUCUCAAAGUCCAUUACUUUGUACAUGGUAAUGAAUCCAGAGAUAUACCAGUUUCACAAAAAACAGAUGCUACUGACACUGAAGCUGUAAAUUCAUAGUCCUAUACUAUGUCGGAGUUGUUGGAAUUGUCGUGAAUAGCUGACGUUUAAUGUUACUUUCGUGUCCUAAAACAUAUAGGGUAUGUUUGUUUGUUUCAAGGGACUAUCUAACCUAGGCAUAUUUUCUUCAUUAGUCAUGCACUCCAUAAGCUUGCCUUAUGCUAUAGAUGCCUUAACCCAUGUUUGGUACCAGAUCACUAUAAUUAAAACCAACACCAUCGACAACACCAACCUGCAAAAUCUUCACCAUCUCGGGUCAUCAAUUUCAUACAUCAAUCAUCUUCUUUAUGCUCAAUUCAUGUAUGACUUCUCUUGUCCCCCAUAAUAUAUAUGAACAAGAUAGAAUAAGAUCUAGUGUUAUCCAUCAAUUCAAUUUCUUGUUUUGCUGCUACUGCUGCAACUAAUAAUCAAUUCAGACGAAGACAAGUUGAAGAAGAAUUGUCGACGAGAUAUUUUUCAAUCAAUUGGACAAUAAUUGGUGGUUUACAUGGUUCUGCGACCUACGAUCCGUUCUUCAAUCUUGACCCAAAAACCCUGCAAAUCAGCGAUAAUCCGUAGAUAUCACGUAGUCUCUCGGUCUCUCCUAUGCUUGAUAGAAAACCCAAACGGUGACAACGAAAAGACCAAACACUCAAAAAGAAAGUAACUCAAACACUAGCGUCGUUUGUUUGUACUGUACCUACUUGUUCUGUGACUUGUGUUUUCUGUCUCGCCUCUCUACCUUUUCUUUUCGAUAUACACUCGAUCUCUCUGCGACCCACAACCGAUUUCAAAUGGCUGGAGCAACUUCGACUACCUACUUGUCGUCCCCUACAACCCGGAAAUUAAUUCAAGUCACUCAUAUUCCAAAACGGCGACGUCGAUUGGGUGCGAACCGAUGGCCAUGCAUGAUUUCCACCAAUGCAGACCUGCCUGUAACCCUUCCCCUCUCUCUCUCUCUCUCUCAAAGUUCCUUUAUUCUUUGUUUCUACAUUUAGUUUGGCACUCUUGAUUUAUGGCUAGCUAUUGUUUUGAAUUCAGAGAACUGAGCUUUAUGGGUUUAGUUUGGUUUGAACUGCAUCGUUUUGUUUACGUCUUUCUUACGUACAAUGUACUGCUCUAUGACAUUUAGCUCUUACUGGGUUGCUUUCUUAAAAUAUACUGUUUUUCUAUACUAGCUAACAUUGGUUGUUGAGUGUGCUUUUGCCUUGAACAUUAUUGGGGUUCAAAGUUUUUCCCUGUUUGAUUGUUGAUGGUAGGUUGUUAGAUGUCCUUUACUAAACACGAAACAAGUGUACUUCUUACGGAUGUUUUGUUAUGAAGUUUUUUGCUAUGAGAAUAUGUGAUAGAAAGAGAGAUAAUAGCACUACGUGUUUGCAAUUGUAUGGUUUGAGUAUGAAAAUAUGGUGAAAAUCCUUGUUAAUAAACCUGAAUUGGAUAGUUAUAAGCUUGACUACAUUUGAAAUAGGCGUUCCUAGUGAAUUUCUAUAGGUUCUUCGUUCUCGUGACCUCUUUACAGAAAUGUGCUCAUGGACCUUGUUUAUAUUGUCUUAUCCCUUCUAACUAGAGUUUGUAUCUAUACUCGUAAGAAGGUAUGUGUUUAGAAACGGACUCUUUUUUGAAACUCAAGGGAAUUUUACAAAUCCCUGUUCUCUUCUGUAAAUGGAUUACUGUAAACUAAAAUUUGCUCAAUUUCUAUGUCGUUGUGUGGUUACAUUAUUACGCACUUAAAGAAAUUCAAGUUUGUUGGUAAUUUAUAGUUUUCAAGAUUGGUGUUGUAAAUGCUGUUGCCCGGUCUGCGUAUGCAGAUCGAAUUCGGAAAUACCAAGGUCAUUGUUUCUGUGUGGGUAUAUCUUUUAGAUCCAUACUUUUACUGACUCAUCAAUUCAUAAUCGUGAUCAAUAAAUUUCAUAAUCCGUUGAGUUGCCUUUCCGCUGUUUUUACUUUUGAACUUUAGAUUGAUCCCUCAUGGCUCAUGCAAAUAUGAGAUGUAUUUAAACUUUACUUUUGGUUUGUUUAGAUUUGAGCCAAGAGAGAGUAAGAAGGCAAUGUUGUACAGUGAUAUACUGAUAUAGGCCGGUUGAAUUCUAAUGUGACUUGUACAACUUUGGAAAGGUAUAUGAUUGUGUUAAUGCAUCUUAUGAUAAUUUUUUGUUAGUCUUCUUUCCCAGUGACAACGAUGUGACUAAUGUUUGGACCGUGUUGUUUUAGGGGUCAAACCACAAAGAGUUUUCUUCACUGCUUCAUAUAGCUUUAGAGGGUGCAAUUUUGCUGGAAACUUUCCCCAAGACUACUGUGGAUGUCUUUGCAUUGGUGUUUGAAUCUGAAGGCAGUAAGCUUUUCAACUUAAAUUUUGUUUAAUUUAUUUUACGUUGAUAAGAAUGAUGAAAAAGAAAAUGACAAGAGAAGAGAAGAGAGUUUAAAUUGAUUUUCUUCAUUGUACGAGAAUAGUAGAAUACUACACUAGCAAGAUAUUUAUAUUGCUCGAAACUGAAUACUGGCGAUGUUGCCUUUUUAUUUUUAUUUUUUUUAUUUAUAACUUUUUUUAUUAUAAACUCACGCACCCUACAUACGUCGGUGAGGUUUGAAUCUAUGACCUCAACAUUGUUGGUUAGCCUACCUAACCAACCAAGCCACAGCUUACCGACCUGGCGACGUUGCCUUUGAGUAUACGAAUCUUACUUUGACUCAAGUUUGGUUUACGGUUUACCAAGAUUUUGUUGUUAGGGAAAGUUUAUGCGUUUGGAAAUUAUCUCAUUGCUAACUAGCGCUGUUACGUUAAAUGAAUUGAAGAGCUUUAUAUUUGUUAGAGUUAGUGGUGUUAAAGUUGUAACUAUAUAGAAAAGUCAUCUGUACGAAUCUGUUGAUACCCAAAAAAUCAAUAUUUAUGCUCAAUAGAUAUUCCAAGCUCAAUAAAGAAAUACGCAUGAAAAUCACAUUCGAAAUAAAAAAAAUUAUAUAUUUAUUCGAAUAUUCAUGCCACGCACGGGGACUCAAGCCACAACCACGUUUUUGGGGCUUACAAAUUUAGGUGUGGUGUGGAAGGUAACAGAAGUACACGAAGUCCAUUAUAGAUGUUACAUCAUUGGCGGUUUUGGACUUGGGACCGAAACCCAGGCCUAAUAAUGUAAAUAUUUAUAUGGGCAUGCAAAAAAGAGAGAAUCCUUAAUGCAGUAGAUUACACCGCAACAGACCUUUAGCCGCAGCAAGCCUCUCAUCUUUUGCAACUCAUGUGCUUCCAGCUCCCACGCUUUAUGCCUUCUUGCAAGCUCUUUCAUGUAUUUUGUUUAUUUGUCAUGUUAUCAAAAUCACGCCAAGUUACUGCCAAUAUAUCACAAGAAGCAUGCCACUGCAGCAAGUUACUGCAGGGAGACCGGGGAAAACACGCACAAACCUCCUAGAAGCUUUGGGCCCAGUUCUUGAACUUAGAGGGGUAAAUAGAGGAGAUCAAUCUAAUCUAUCAAUCCUAGCGGUCUCGGUUCAAAAUGACCCCAACAAAAUCGUACUAAAUCAGGAAGUGAUUGGGGAAUUGAAGCCAAAUACAAGGACAAUAUCAAUGUUAUAGAAUCAUUGUUGCAAUUGUGCCAUUCACUGUGUCAUUUUUUGUACCACAUAGUCCCUACAACAAUUCUAGUGAAUGUAAGAAUGAUAUUGGUAUUAUGAAGGCUGAUGGGCUAUGUCAUUUUGCUUGCAGGUGAUCUUCCUGUGGUGAUAUCAUGUGCUAGUCUUGCACUAAAGCAGAUGCAGGGAUCAUGAUGUAUGACCUUGUUGCUUCAGUAUCUGUGGUAUGUAUCUGGGUAGACAUCUGGCCCUUUCAACUUCCUCAUAAUUAAGCAAAAAACAAUAUGUUGUUGCUGACUGUCCUAUUGUAUUUCUUUGUAUAGGAUUAAGAAUUUGAACUUGAGCACAUAUGAAAUAAUGGAAGUGUGAUGGCUGAUUGUCGUAUUAUUUUAUUUUUCUUUGUUUUUUGUUCGGUUAUUCAGUUAAAUACCAUUAUACAAAACUUUUGUUAAGCUGUAUCCUUUCUGUUUCAUCCGAUUAGCUAGUACUGUAAAUUACUUUUGUUAAGCUAUAUCCCUUUUGUUUCAUCCGUUAUAUAGAAUUAUAUCCACUGAAAUACCUUCAUUUUUAUGAAACAAUGUAUUGUAUUCGAUGAGAACAGAAGAGAGAAAAGAAGAGCAUUAGGUAUGCAUCAAGCUCUUCUCUGAGCAUUUGUUUGGUUACACAAAAUUUUCACUGUCGGAUACAUUUCGCAAAAAUCUUCCUAGUCUCCACUUGCCUUCUAGAUCCCUUCCCUGCCGAGAUUUCCCUUCACCGCAUAGAUUUCCCUUCGUCAUUGCGCUCUUAAUCAGAGCCUACACUACCAGGACAAGCACUUUAGCCGACGAAAAAUUUUCGUCGGCUUGUUAGCUUAAUUCGUCGGCUAAGAUUUCGUCGGGAAAAGGUCGUCUGUGACGACUUUAGCCGACGAAAAAAAAUUUUCGUCGGCUAUAGUCCCGCAGUUUAUCCGACGAAAAACAUGUCGUCGGUUUUUUUCCCAGACUUUAGCCGACGAAACAAUUAAGAUAUUCGUCGGCUAAAGUUUGUAAAAAAANNNNNNNNNNNNNNNNNNNNUUUUUGGAGCUCGAUUUUAUCUCUCACGGCGGCGUCACUCGAUGCACCACCUGUCCAGCAAUGAAGUAGAGACGACGGCGAAGCUUUUGGGACAAGUGUGGCGGUCUCCGGUGGCUUGACGGCGGAGCUAGGCCGAGAAAAAAAUCUAGUAGGCGAAAUAGACUUCUUACCAUCCAUCUUCGGUAAAACUCCUAUAUAAAGAACUUUAGCCGACGAAAUUCUUUAUUUUCGUCGGCUAAACUCUUUUGAAACUUUUGAAAAUUUUGAAAAUUUUGGUUGACCGCCAAAAAAUUUUGAAAAUUUUUCAACUUUAGCCGACGACUUUUCAUAUAUUUUCGUCGGCUAAAGUCCUUUGAAAAUUUUCCUCCAAAUUUGGUUUACCGCCCAAAAUUUUUUGACCUUAGCUGACGACUUUUUUAAUAUCUCGUCGGCUAAAGUCUAUAAAUUCACAAAAACGCUCAUAUCUCCCUCUAUAUUACGUAGUUUGGUCAAACCUUCCACACGAAAAACUUUCACAUAGAUGAGACGCACCGCCUAUAUAAAAAUUUUGAGACAUUUGUCUUCCGACGAUAGGGCUCCCCAUAGGGAAUAAUAACGGUAAAUAGGGUUGACCGCUACUAUCGGCACCGAGAUUUUACCCGAUUUACGUGAUUUUUGAACCAUAGCCGUAUUUCACCAUUCUGAACACAUCUUAUUUCACGAGAUUUUUGAUAAUUUUGCUUCCUAUACAGAGUUGGUUCACAAAGUUGUAUAACCAACUAAACAAGUUAUACAACAUUAGUAGACACGUUGUGAUUCCGAUGACUAAAAUUCACAAACCAAAAUUCGACCGUCAGAUAUGAUCAUUAUGACGAAAGAUGUUUAUGGUAAAAAAUUUAACUGGAUCCGACAACGUUAAGGACUCGAUCGAAACGGUUAACCCUAAUCCAUCGUCACUUAUCACACGAAAACGCUCAUAUCUCCCUCUAUAUUACGUGGUUUGGUCAAACCUUCCACACAAAAAGCUCUCACGUAGAUGAGGCGCAACUGCCCAUAUAAAAAUUUUGAGACAUUUACCUUCCGACGAUAGGGCUCCCCAUAGGGAAUAAUAACGGUAAAUAGUAGACACGUGAUUCGGAUGACUAAAAUUUACAAACCAAAAUUCGACUGUCCGAUAUGAUCAUUAUGACGAAAGAUGUCUAUGGUAAAAAAUUCAACUGGAUUCGACAACGUUAAGGGCUCGAUCGAAACGGUCAACUCUAAUCGGAAAUUAGAAAACUGCAUUUUGAAGCCCUAAACGGACUCGGAUGGCCAAAAAGGCCCAUACAUCAUGGCGUUAGAAAUGAGUUUGACUCGUAGGGCCGUUACGCUUCCGGUAAGGUAUCACAAUAGUCAAUCGGACACCAAAAACCAAAUCUGCAGCAUAAUGAAUAAUAAGAGUAAAUUACAUUGACCGCAACUAUCGGCACCGAGACUUUACCGGAAUACUGUGAUUUUUCAACUGUAGACGUAUUUCACCAUUCUGGUCAUAUCUUAUUUCACGACUUUUUUGUGUUUGAAGGUUUUACGUAUAGUUUUUUUUUUCCAGAUGAGUUGUUGUCCAGAUCUGUAAAUAUAAGGCACUUUAGCAGAUGAAAUUAAGGCACUUUAGUCGACGAAAUUAUAUUUUUCGUCGGCUAAACUUUUAAAAAUUUAGUCGGCUAAAGUUCACAGACUAUAGUCGACGAAAAAAAUUAUUCAGACGACGAAAUUUUAAUUUUGUUGGCUAAAGUUGACCAUAGCCGACGAAAAUUUUUAAUUAGCCGACGAAGGGAAAUUUCGUCGGCUAAAGUCUACUUUAGCCGACGAAAAAAUAAUUCGUCGACCUGGUUUUUUUAUUUUCGUCGGCUAAAGUCUUUCUUCUGGUAGUGCUAGGUUUUGUGCUCUAAAUAUGAAACAAAAUUGAGAGAGAGAGAGAGAGAGAGAGAGAGAGAGAGAGAGAGAGAGAGAGAUCACAUUUGUUUGAAAUUUCUGAUAUUUGUAAGAGUACUUCUUUCAUUAGGUUUUGGACGAGCUGACGGCUCGUGACUAUUAGUUGGCCGUAUAUGCUACGAAAAUUGUCUUACUAGUGGUAAAAACACCUAAUAAAAAAAGUCCUUAAAAAUUAAAAAGAAACUUAUUUAAAAAUUUAGACCCUCAUAAUUGCAAACCACACAUAGAUGUGAACUUGUGCGAUUAAUCCAUCAUCACAAUCAUGUAAUCUUUGAUAAAAGCAGUCUUCUAAUCCUUAUGUUUCGGUCAGCUGCCUAUGCUUAUGAUUGAUGAGUUGGACAGAGCCUUAGACAAAUUAACAUUAGUGAAAAGCCAUUGCACGUAUGUGUGUACAAAUUAAAACUAAAAGAUCGAUAUACUUGAAUACUCUCAAGAAUCGAAAACGUAAAAUGCAAUAGAAAUG
rnacentral:lncRNA from 1 species